rnacentral:piRNA from 1 species
UAGAAUCUAAAUGUGAAGCUUUAAUGGUGGA